rnacentral:lncRNA from 1 species
GCUCGAUCUGCGGGCCGUUCGUCGGCGAGCGGCAGCCCUCGAGGGCGGUGGUAGCAGUUCUCGGCCGCAAGCUGGCCUGAUUCAGUGAUUUCGUUUUUCUAACCGUGGCUAUGUUUUCCUUCUCAGCUCUGACUUCCGCUCCUCGCUCAAAUCUCUAGUUCAAGGCGUCUCAUCUGGAUCCAAAGACAUGCUUGAGUUUAACCCCCCCAAAAUACUGUUUCCAGCACUGCAAAUCCUCCAUGAUGUAGCGAGGGUCGUGCUCCUCCCGGUCACCUCUCUGUCGCUCUGGUGAAGGCAUCUACCCAGCUGAAAUGAACUUGAAGAUUGUUUACAUCCCAUUUGGUGAGAGCAAAAUACUUGUCUUGGAUUGCAGCAUAAAAAAUAGAGAAAAUGAAGAUUAGUCUUAGAAGUAAGAGCAAGGCCUGUAUUCAGGACACAGAACAGAUGUAUUGUAACUGUAUCCUCUUUCUGCAUUAUGCUGCAACUUGACAAAAAUGAGCCACAAGGAGAUACAGUCUGCAAGUAUCUGCGCGUAACUUUCUGUUCAGAAGAAUGGAAAACGAUGCGAAUUUCAACUGUCACACUUCUAAGAAGGGAUCCCUUUCUUGCUGCUUUACGCUAUUGUAGAUUCUCCCGCACAACAGUUCUAGAAUAUGUAGCUGCAAAUCCAGCUGAAGAAACAAGCAGCAGGGAAGAGGAACGUCUUUGGCCGCACCACUAUUCUGGCCACCGUCUAUUGGCCACCCCAGUUGCGCCAAUGCAGUUGUUUGCUGGGACGUGCUGUAACCUAGGGCAAGGGAAUUAUCUGACCUACAACACAUCUUGUUCUGGGAAUUCAUUAUGUUCUCUGAAGAGAUGCUAUACCAUUCCUCUUCUGGGUCUGUGGGAUCCCGUGUGGAGUUAUAUGAGUGUGCAGCAAAUAGCAAUCCUCUUGCUGCUGAAUGGAGAAAGAAUGCUCAGCCUUGAAUAUCAAUUCUAACUGGAGAGACCUGGAGGAUACCUAACCAGAGACAACAGGAUGGAGAUCCUGAAGGGAGCGGAUUUCCAUCAGUCACCUCUUCUUAGGGCGAUGCCUGCACACCCCAGUCCGGCAGAGAUGGACUCCCCGUCAUGCAAACAGCUAAUUCACCACUU